rnacentral:rRNA from 1 species
CCCUUAGAUGUUCUGGGCUGCACGCGUGCUACAAUGGCGCUUGCAACAAGUCUUGCCAACCCGAUAGGGUGAGCGGAUCUUUGAAGAGGCGUCGUGAUCGGGACAGUUGAUUGCAAUUAUUCGACUUGAACGAGGAAUUCCUUGUAAUCGCGAUUCAUCAUAUCGCGCUGAAUACGUCCCUGCCCUUUGUACACACCGCCCGUCGCUCCUACCGAUUGAGCGAUCCGGUGAAUGUUUUGGACUGGCGUCAGAAGCGGUUCGCUCCUGACACUACGAAAUUUUGUAAACCUUAUCGCUUAGAGGAAGGAAAAGUCGUAACA